GAUGAACGCUGGCGGCGUGCCUAAUACAUGCAAGUCGAGCGAACGGACGAGAAGCUUGCUUCUCUGAUGUUAGCGGCGGACGGGUGAGUAACACGUGGAUAACCUACCUAUAAGACUGGGAUAACUUCGGGAAACCGGAGCUAAUACCGGAUGAUAUUUUGAACCGCAUGGUUCAAAAGUGAAAGACGGUCUUGCUGUCACUUAUAGAUGGAUCCGCGCUGCAUUAGCUAGUUGGUAAGGUAACGGCUUACCAAGGCAACGAUGCAUAGCCGACCUGAGAGGGUGGUCGGCCACACUGGAACUGAGACACGGUCCAGACUCCUACGGGAGGCAGCAGUAGGGAAUCUUCCGCAAUGGGCGAAAGCCUGACGGAGCAACGCCGCGUGAGUGAUGAAGGUAUUCGGAUCGUAAAACUCUGUUAUUAGGGAAGAACAUAUGUGUAAGUAACUGUGCACAUCUUGACGGUACCUAAUCAGAAAGCCACGGCUAACUACGUG
rnacentral:rRNA from 1 species